UUAAUCAAAAUAUUUUGUAUGUGUGUGUGGGUAAUCUGUAUUUUAUUACCAACUAUUAAAAUAUGCUUCGCCAUCUAGCGGUACUAGCUAUUACUUCAUUGUACCGACUAGUAAAAAUAUGCUUUUAUCUAACGAUAGAAAUUUUUACUUCAGUUACCGGCAGGUAGAAUAUGUGGCGCCAUCUAGACGAAAGAUAACACAUCGGUAGGAGAAAAUCAAGAUGGCUACCUGUCAAUGUACUUUGAAUACCGUAAAUACAGGCAAUGUGCAGUGUAAAAUAUUACAUUAAAGAAAUUCUUCUUAGUGAUGCAAUAAUCAAGUGAGGAAUAUUUUUAAUUUAUAAUAAUUCUUUUCAUAUUCUUUCUUCAGUGAUCGUCAACUCUGGAUAUAAAUAGUAAUCUGGAUGAAUUGCUGUUGGGCAGUGUUAUGUCGUAACCUAAGAAAAAUAAUUUUCUUAAUUAAAUCCGAGAAUGCAGAUGAAUUCCAGACGUUCUUUUUAUCAAAUUAUUAUAACAAAUACUAUUCAGAUCAGCAUGCAGAUCUAUAUUUUAAAUUCCAAUCCAAGAACGUUAUAAUCAAAAGAAGAGGAGUCCAUUACACCAUUGGAUCAAUGAAUAUAUAUUUCAUUUUCUUACGGCUAACGAUUAGAAGAUUUGUAUUGAUUAUGCCAUCCAAAUAAGAGUUUUAUUCUAUAAUAUAUGGUAAAUAGAAUGCAGCUGCAGUAACAAAGAAUGAUCAAGACAAGAAUGUGUCAAAAGGGGAGGGAAAAAAUUUGACUAGAAGUGUCUACUCAUUAUUAUGAAGAUUGAUAAGAAGAAUCCAACAAUACUGCAACUAUGAAAGAUUUUUGAAUGCACUAUUCUUUUUAUACUUGCACUGGAAGAAAACCAUAUGCAGUAGUAUUCUGUCAAAAGAAUACUAGAAGAAAUGUAUUCUAGUUAUCACAAAUUAAGAAAAAAAAUGGCAAAUACAUUAUAUUAGGAAAUUCUAUUCAUGUCAAAAUCUUUUAUCAAGUUUUGUACACGAGAUUCAAUGUGAAUUAUUACGCGAAAAGAAUACAGCUGCUCUGACUACAAAUAAUCUAGACAAUAAUAUGUUUAAAGGUAAAUAUAA